rnacentral:rRNA from 1 species
AUACGGAGGGUGCAAGCGUUAUUCGGAAUCACUGGGCGUAAAGGACACGUAGGCGGGAAGCCAAGUCUGAUGUGAAAUCCUACAGCUUAACUGUAGAACUGCAUUGGAAACUGGUUACCUAGAGUAUGGGAGGGGGAGAUGGAAUUAGUGGUGUAGGGGUAAAAUCCGUAGAUAUCUCUAGGAAUACCUAAAGCGAAGGCGAUCUCCUGGAACAUUACUGACGCUAAGGUGUGAAAGCGUGGGGAGCAAACGGGAUUAGAAACCCUAGUAGUCC